AUUCCCGACCUCCGCACCCUACCCGGUCCGCAGGGCACCUUCCUCCUCUCUCUCAGGCACGUCCUCGACCUCAGUUGCCACGUGCACAUGCUGGUGCCUUCCAGGUCGGUCUUUCUCCACCAGACUCCACCUGGAACUUUCUUCCUUUUCGUCCUGUGCUGGCCUAACCCCUGCUCGGCCUCGGCCCUCAGCUGCCGGCUCUAACAAAGCCUCUGUCUUUCCCAGACCCCUGUGACCAGGCUGGAGUAUAGUGGCAUGAUCAUAGAUCACUGCAGCCUCAAACUCCUGGGCUCAAGCGAUCCUCCCACCUCAGCCUCCAUAUAGCUGGUGGGGACCAAGUUUCUAACACAUGAAUGUUGGGAGACACAUUCAGACCAUCGCAGUGGCCUUAUAAAAAGAGACACAAGAGCUUGCUCUCUGCCAUGUGAGAAUACCACAAGAAGACUGUCCUCAGCAAAUCAGAAAGCGGGUGGACCCUCAUCAGACACCAGAUGUGCCUGCACCUUGAUCUUGGACUUGCCAGCCUUCAGAACAGUAAGAAAGAAAUGUGUGUUGUUUAAGCCACCCAGUCUAUGGUAACUUGCUAUAGCAGCCCACUAGGAGACCCCAAGAUAUUUAAAAACUCAUCAGCACCUGCUUUCUGCAUCUGGACCCUGAUCUUCUGGUGGGUUUACCAGUUACUUGUAGAGUGUCCCUGUGAUAGUUUUAGGUGUCAACUUGACAGGAUUGAGGGAUGCCUAGAUGGCUGGGGAAGCACUGUUUCUGAGAAGGACCAUGUUUUUGGAGGAGACUGUUUUAUGAGUGAAUUUCAGGGGACACAUUCAGAUCAUGGCAGUGGCAUUAUAAAGAGAGACACAAAAGCUUGCUCUCUCUCUCUGCCAUGUAAGACUACCACACAAAGACUGCCAUCUGCAAACCAGAAGCAGGUGGGCUUUCCUCAGACACCAGAUCUGCCUGCACCUUGAUCUUGGACUUGCCAGCCUUCAGAACUCUAAGAAAGAAAUGGUAGCAUGGCUUGGUCUAAGUUGGAAGGCCUGAGAAACAAGCACAUGGUGGAACUGAGUUCAAGGAUAAAGACUUGAGAAUACCUGCUCAGUGGACUGAGUAGGGAAGAUCAACCCUCAAUGUAGGCAGGCACUAUCCAAUCACCUGAGGGCCCAGAUGGAACAAAAAGGUGGAAGAAGGGUGAAUUCUCUCUUCCAGAGCUGUGACACCCUUCUCAUGCCCUUGUACCACACAACUCUAGGUCCUUUGGCCUUUGGACUCUGACACUUGCACCAGUGGCCCUCUGGGGCUCUCAAGCCUUUAGCCUUGAACUUAGUUACACCAUGUGCCUCCUUGUUUCUCAGGCCUUCCAACUUGGAUCAGGCCAUGCCACCGGCUUCUCUGAUUCUCCAGCUUGCAGAUGGUAUAUUGUGACCCUGGCAUUUAAUAACUAUGACUUUGGUCUUAAGCAAUUUUCUUCCUCUGUGGAUUGAUAUUUACAUAUCAAUGUGGAUAAUAAUUUCUUACCACGGUAACUGUUGUGAGGUAAAAAUGAGUUAACAUAAGUAAAACCGAGCACAUGCAAACCAUCCGAAAUGGUUAAUACUUACUAUUUGUACUUGAAGAAAUAAAUGUUUUUGACAAU
rnacentral:lncRNA from 1 species